GCACUUACUUAGGCAGUACAUAUACUAAAAAUUGGAAUGAUACAGAGAAGAUUAAUCUAUCCCUGUGCAAAAAUGAAAGGCAGAUUUGUGAAGCAUUCCACAUUUUU
rnacentral:snRNA from 1 species